GGCCAAUCUACGAAGGGCACAUGGGGGAUGCCUUGGCGUUAAGAGAAUGAAGGGCGUGGAAGUCUGCGAAAAGCCCGGGGAAGUUGACAAACAAGUAAUGAUCCCGGGAUUCCCAACUGCGACCAGCUGAAUUCAUAGGCUGGUUCGUAACAACCUGGUGAACUGAAACAUCUAAGUAACCAGAGGAAGAGAAAGAAAAAUCGAUUCCGUCAGUAGCGGCGAGCGAAAUCGGAAGAGCCCAAACCGUGGAGAUUUUCUUCGCGGGGUUGUAGGACUCCAAUGUUGGAUUGUGUGUGGUUAGUGGAAGAUUCAGGAAAGGAUCGCCACAGAGGGUGACAGUCCCGUACACGAAAGCAAGCACACACCAUAGGAGCACCUGAGUAGGUCCAGUCACGUGAAACCUGGACUGAAUCCACGGGGACCAUCCCGUAAGGCUAAAUACUCCUUAACGACCGAUAGUGCACCAGUAGCGUGAGUGAAGGGUGAGAAGAACCCCUGUUAGGGGAGGAAUGUGAACCUGAAACCAUGUGCCUACAAGCGGUCGGAGCCCUAUGUCGAAGCUUGCUUCGAAAUGGGUGACGGCGUGCCUUUUGCAUAAUGAUCCGGCGAGUUGUGGUAAACGGCUUGGUUAAGUCCUUCCGGGACGUAGCCCAAGGGAAACCGAGUCUGAAUAGGGCGUCAUUGUCGUUUGCUGCAGACGCGAAACCUGUGUGAUCUACCCAUGAGCAGGUUGAAGCGCGGGUUAAACUGC
rnacentral:rRNA from 1 species